rnacentral:rRNA from 1 species
AUACGUAGGGUGCAAGCGUUAAUCGGAAUUACUGGGCGUAAAGCGCGCGUAGGUGGUUCGUUAAGUUGGAUGUGAAAGCCCCGGGCUCAACCUGGGACCUGCAUCCAAAACUGGCGAGCUAGAGUAUGGCAGAGGGUGGUGGAAUUUCCUGUGUAGCGGUGAAAUGCGUAGAUAUAGGAAGGAACACCAGUGGCGAAGGCGACCACCGGGGCUAAUACUGACACUGAGGGGCGAAAGCGUGGGGAGCAAACAGGAUUAGAUCCCCUGGUAUUCCACGCCGUAAACGAUGUCGACUAGCCGUUGGGAUCCUUGAGAUCUUAGUGGCGCAGCUAACGCAUUAAGUCGACCGCCUGGGGAGUACGGCCGCAAGGUUAAAACUCAAAUGAAUUGGCGGGG